UACGUAGGGUGCGAGCGUUAAUCGGAAUUACUGGGCGUAAAGCGUGCGCAGGCGGUUCGUUAAGUUCGAUGUGAAAGCCCCGGGCUCAACCUGGGAAUUGCAUUGGAAACUGGCGGGCUUGAGUGUGGCAGAGGGGGGUGGAAUUCCACGUGUAGCAGUGAAAUGCGUAGAUAUCGGGAGGAACAUCUGUGGCGAAGGCGACACCCUGGACCAGCACUGACACUGAGGCACGAAAGCGUGGGGAGCAAACAGG
rnacentral:rRNA from 1 species